AACGGUCUAUACCUGCGGUACCUGCGGAGGGAUCAUUAACAAUUAUCCAAACUAUGGAUAAUUUAUCCAUAUCCACCUUGUGUGAACCAUUGAUUGUUGUCGUUGGCAGGUUGUCCGGAGAGGGAGAAAAUUAAUCUUCCACACCGGCGAGAGGAGAGUUUUUUACAAACCUCUAGCCUGCCAACCUUUUUUUUGUCUAAACACGUUUAAACUGGUUUUAGUCUGAAACUUGUUAAUUUA
rnacentral:misc_RNA from 1 species